rnacentral:misc_RNA from 1 species
CCGAGUUUACAACUCCCAAACCCCUGUGAACAUACCUAUACGUUGCCUCGGCGGAUCAGCCCCGCGCCCCGUAAAAAGGGACGGCCCGCCCGAGGACCCCUAAACUCUGUUUUUAGUGGAACUUCUGAGUAAAACAAACAAAUAAAUCA